UUUUAGCCAGACGCCAGGUUUUAGGCUGCCACCAGAGGCGGGGCAUAGGCACUAAAGCAACAAGACAAUAGAAGCCUACAUCUUGCCCAAGAUAAUUAGCUUACAUGCUGAUGACAAGGUUAACAGCUCCAGAGAUGCACAGAUCUUUCCUAUGUCCAUGUGUGAGCUCCAGGACAGGAGAGCAGCCCAGACAACCAAGGAGCCAGGGAGGAAGCCUUCCGGGUGAGGUGCUGCCAAGCCCUUGACAAGUUGAAGGCUAGUGGAUUUGGGACGAGGUAGAGGAGAGCUCUUCUCCUGUUGCCUUUGUUUCCAUUUCUAAUGACGAUGUCGCACUAUUUCCACGGCUGGUCCUGCUGCACAACUGGGUUGAAAAGGGUUAAGAUGGAGAGCAGCAUGUGCACUUUUAAAACUACAUGCGACAAAGUCCACUGCUUGAAGUCCGGGUCCCUUCUUCCCCCGCCCCUCCCCAGC
rnacentral:lncRNA from 1 species